rnacentral:rRNA from 1 species
CGUGGGUAACCUGCCCAAGAGAUCGGGAUAACACCUGGAAACAGAUGCUAAUACCGGAUAACAACAGAUGAUGCCUAUCAACUGUUUAAAAGAUGGUUCUGCUAUCACUCUUGGAUGGACCUGCGGUGCAUUAGCUAGUUGGUAGGGUAACGGCCUACCAAGGCGAUGAUGCAUAGCCGAGUUGAGAGACUGAUCGGCCACAUUGGGACUGAGACACGGCCCAAACUCCUACGGGGCAGCAGCC